GGUCCGGUGUCCAAGCCCCACCUCCAGAGUCAAGUCCUGCCUCCUAUCUCAAGAUAAUCAGAAGGAGCGGAAGUCUGAAAACAACCAAUCAUCCUGGAAGAAGACCCUGAGCUUUAGAUAAGACUACAGCUCCAGCUGACACCUUGAUUUCAGCCCCAUGAGACCCUGAGCAGAGAAUCCGGUUGAGCCGUGCUUGGAUUUUGACCUAUAGAGCUGUGAGAUAAUACAUUUGUGUUGCUUUAGUUGAUGCACUUCUGUCAAUUUGUUACACAGCAAUGAGAACUGAAUAAGGGAGAAACAAAUGCUGGGUAGACAGAAGCGACGGAUGUGCAUGAGGAGCUGAGACAGACAGCUGCCUGGAAUUGAGCCUUACUUAGCCUGGAAGGGGAGUUUACUUUUCCACCUCAUUGAUGUUGAACUUGACCAUGUGACUUGCCAAUGAGGAAGUAACAGAUUUGAUGUAAGCUGAGGCUCCGUACUUGGUUGCACCAUUGAUGUGACUGCAUUUGACUGUGUCCAGUGAUUUACCAUGACAAGAGCUUUCUCCCACAUGGCUGCUGCCCCUUUUUCCUGGGCCCCAGUACAAGUACACUUGGUCAGACCUAAACUCAUGCACAGCCUGGAGCCAAGCAAGGCUGAGCUGCAGGCUGAAGCAGAGCUUUCCGGGUAACCUGAACUCCUGUUGCAGAUUCAU
rnacentral:lncRNA from 1 species